rnacentral:rRNA from 1 species
UACGUAGGGUGCAAGCGUUAAUCGGAAUUACUGGGCGUAAAGCGUGCGCAGGCGGUUUUGUAAGGCUGUUGUGAAAUCCCCGGGCUCAACCUGGGAAUUGCGAUGGAGACUGCAAGGCUAGAAUCUGGCAGAGGGGGGUAGAAUUCCACGUGUAGCAGUGAAAUGCGUAGAGAUGUGGAGGAACACCGAUGGCGAAGGCAGCCCCCUGGGUCAAGAUUGACGCUCAUGCACGAAAGCGUGGGGAGCAAACAGG